rnacentral:lncRNA from 1 species
ACUGGGUUGACCUCCUGACUCAAGCGAUUUUCCUGCCUCGGCCUCCUGAGUAACUGUGACCACAGGCAUUCUAACAUACCCAGCUCAAAUACAAAAUUAAAAUCCUUUCAAAUAACAUUCAACAAAAACAUUAACACCCCAGUAAUCCAUAGCCUAAAUCAAUAGAAAAUCUCCUGUUCAUGUACAAACUCAUGAUCAUGUAUUACAUGCCCUUAAACUUUUAACUAUGGCAAAACCAAAGAUGAACUGUGUUUACACUUUAUGCAGAAUCAUUACUGUUAAUUCCCACGUUAAACACUUUUCAGGACCUAAUCAUAUGUGGUCAUAAACAAUAGGCAGCAAUACAUAAUGUUCAGUAUUUCUGGAAUUAACAGUAAUGAUUCCCCAUAAAGAUAAGGUGUAAACAUGGUUCAAAAAGAAAAAAACUUUUUGGUCAUGGUUAAAAGUUUAAGGGCAUGUAACAUUAAGUCAUGAGUUUGUACAGACUCUCCUGCCUAGUUGUCAGGAGAUACAUUCAGGUUGCAACAAAAUACAAAUUGUAAUAGAUCUUCAAUGUGCAAGUGCUGCAGAAAUCUGGAAACCCACGCUGCUGAGAAAAUGGAAACAAAGCAGUUCAUUGUAUUUUGAGGACACUCUUGAUUUUCAUGCUGGGUUAGUUAGCUUGUCAUUACUGUGACCGAAAUACCUGACAAGAACAACUUAUAGGAAGAAAAGUUUAUUUUCAUUUAUGGUUUCAGAGAUUCAGUCCAUAGUUGACCAACCUUAUGGUUUAGAUAUUAGGUGACCCCCAAAAGUUCAUGUGUAAGACAAUGCAAUAAAGUUUACAGGUGAAAUGAUUGGGUUAUGGGCACUUUGACCUAAUCAGUGCAUUAAUCCCUUGUAAGAAUUAACUGAGUGGUGACUGUAGGCAGGUGGGGUGUGGUUGGAGGAGGUGGGUCAUUGGGGCACAUCUUCAGGGGGCUUAUAUUUUCUCCUUGUUGAGCAGUGCUCUUUAUGCUUCCUGAUCAUGUGGACUAACACUUCUGAAACUGUAAGCUCCCAAAUAAACUUUUCCUUCUAAGAUUGUCCUGUCAGGACUUGUGGUCAUAGCAGUGAAAAAACUGACUAAAACAGCCAGCUCCAUUGCUGUGGAUCUGAGGUGAGGCAGAACAUCAAGCUGGAAGAGGGUGGCA